UAAGAAUCAAUGAACACAGAGCGGACGCGAGAAACAAAAAGAUGACAACAGCACUGGCUCAACACUUAACAACGCACGAACAUAUAGCGGACUUCGGCAACACAGAAAUUUGGACAUCGAAAGAGGAGAAAGAAGGAGAAUGACACUGGAGAGCCUACGAAUACAACAACAAUUGGACAACGCAAUCAACUUUAAGGAAGACGUCGACAACAUGAAGAACACAUAUGCAGCCGUACUAAAACUAAAAUAUAAAUAAGAAUACUUCAAUAAUUCUUCCUAAAUGUUGUAUUACCUUCAAUGUGUGCAAAUUAAUGUAAAAUUCUUGUCAAUAUUUAAUACUCCCUGAAGAUGACACGAGAGUGUCGAAACGCGUAGGAGGGACAAGGGAAAAAUAUAAGCAUUUCGCCUUUUACUCCAUCGGCCGAAGCAGCUCCAACCCAGCAAACAAAAUUCAUUGGAAUUUGGCCCAUACAAAGACAAUUAUUACCAUCGGUGAGCAAACCCGAGAAAACAACUAAAAAGACUCCCUGAAGAUGACACGAGAGUGUCGAAACGCGUAGGAGGGACAAGGGAAAAAUAUAAGCAUUUCGCCUUUUACUCCAUCGGCCGAAGCAGCUCCAACCCAGCAAACAAAAUUCAUUGGAAUUUGGCCCAUACAAAGACAAUUAUUACCAUCGGUGAGCAAACCCGAGAAAACAACUAAAAAGGUAAACAAAAAAAGUAAACAUGAAGCAAUUUUACCAACAUAUAAGACUUAAAUACAACGACGAGACAUGCUACAUAAUAAAGCAAUACAACAAAAACAUGA